AGGAAACAUGAGAACCAGGAAAGAGGUUGGCCGGAUGCCGCAUUUCUGGCUUUAAAGAUGAAGGAAGGAGACCAUGAACCAAGGUGACUUCCAGAUGCUGGGAGAGCAAAGAGACAGACUGUCCCCUAGAGCCUCCAGGAAGGAAUGCAGCCCUGCCAACACCUCCACUUUAGACCUGUGCUGCACAUCUGGGCUACGGAGCUAGAAGGAGACUGGGGCUCAGAGAGAAGAAGUGACUUGUCCAAGCAUGCUCACACUGCCAGUCAGUGCUGGAGCCAGGAAUUGAACCCAGG